AUUGAACGAUGGCGGCAGGCCUAACACAUGCAAGUCGAACGAGUUGCGGCCUGGUGUGUAAUGUCUGGGAAACUGCCUGAUGGAGGGGGAUACCUUCCGGAAACGGUAGCUAAUACCGCAUACCCUUGGAUGUGCCCCGAUGUGAUUAGCUAGUAGUGGGGGUAAAGACUCACCUAGGCGACGAUCCCUAGCUGGUCUGAGUGGAUGACCAGCCACACUGGAACUGGGACACGGUCCAGACGCCGACGGGAGGCAGCAGUUGAGAAGAGUGCACAAUGGGGGCAAGCCUGAUGCAUGCACGCCGAGUGUAGGAAGAAGGACUGACGGGUGUACAGUACUUGCAGCGGGGAGGCGUUACCCGAAGAAGAAGCACAGGAGAGCUCCGUACCAGCAGCCGCGGUAAUUC
rnacentral:rRNA from 1 species